rnacentral:misc_RNA from 1 species
GAUGAAGAACGCAGCGAAAUGCGAUAAGUAGUGUGAAUUGCAGAAUUCAGUGAAUCAUCGAAUCUUUGAACGCACAUUGCGCCCCUUGGUAUUCCAUGGGGCAUGCCUGUUCGAGCGUCAUUUGUACCUUCAAGCUUUGCUUGGUGUUGGGUGUUUGUCUCGCCUUUGCGUGUAAACUCGCCUUAAAAUAAUUGGCAGCCGGCGUAUUGAUUUCGGAGCGCAGUACAUCUCGCGCUUUGCACUCAUAACGACAGCGUCCAAAAGUACAUUUUACACUCUUGACCUCGGAUCAGGUAGGGAUACCCGCUGAACUUAAGCAUAUCAAUAAGCGGAGGA